GCAGAAGAGGAGAGUGGAACUCCAUGUGUAGCGGUGAAAUGCGUAGAUAUAUGGAAGAACACCAGUAGGCGAAAGCGGCUCUCUGGUCUUAACUGACGCUGAGGUUCGAAAGCGUGGGUAGCAAACAGGAUUAGAUACCCUGGUAGUCCACGCCGUAAACGUAUGAAUGCUAGGUGUUGGAGGGUUUCCCGCCCUUCAGUGCCGCAGUUAACACAAUAAGUAAUCCACCUGGGGAGUACGACCGCAAGGUUGAAACUCAAAGGACUCGACGGGGGCCCGCACCAAGCAGUGGAGUAUGUGGUUUAAAUUCGAAGCAACGCGAAGAACCUUACCAGGUCUUGACAUCCGAUGCAUAGCACAGAGAUGUGUGAAGUCCUUCGGGACAUCGAGACAGGUGGUGCAUGGUUGUCGUCAGCUCGUGUCGUGAGAUGUUGGGUUAAGUCCCGCAACGAGCGCAACCCCUUAUUGCCAGUUACUACGCAAGAGGACUCUGGCGAGACUGCCGUUGACAAAACGGAGGAACGGUGGGGAGUCGACCGG
rnacentral:rRNA from 1 species